GGGUGGUAAUAUACACCAUCCCGCCACUUAGCCUUUGUUUUUCAUUACUGAGAACUGAAAAUUUGUGAGACCUGCCCCUUAGCCUUUUUUAUAUUCCUGAGACCAGAAAAUUUGUGAGACCCGAGAGACCCUUCAGCCGAAUCCUAAUUUCGUUUUGCUUCUCCCGGUCGUCGAGCCUGAUCGACUCGACUCUUUUCCCUGCCCCCCGGCCUCUCACUUCAUUUCGUUCUUCUUCUGUAUCGUCACUUGAAUGAAGACACCCGAUCGGCCCAACUUUCCCAAAUGUCCACCACCGGCCCUUCUCCUUUCCGGUUCUGGAUAUUUCGUGGUCGACGAGGAAGAAAGAAAUGAAUGAAUGUUCUUUUUGGAAAAUGUAGAAUAAUACACCUACCGAAACGAAAGCCAAAGGUGAGUCACCCGAGAGACCUGAAAAUUCCUUUCAUUCAAUUCCUUCAACAUUUUUGAGACCUGACACCCGAGACCUUCAAAGGCCAAGAGUUCUAGUAAAUCUUCGGUGUUGGAAAGCGUGGUGGGCAGAGAUUUCUUGCCUCGUGGAUCUGUUUUCCCAAUCUUUCCGAGCAGCCAAGUAGAGUAUUUUAACUCUACUGGAUGAUUCAGGUUCUGGGGAGUGGUGAACGAUAUACUAUCUUGAGAGAAGAGCAGGAUGGCUAUGCUAUACAAAGCUUUAAGCGAGGAAUGGCUGCACAAAAGAGUCAAAAUUUUUUCAACACAUAAAUUUUGCAUUUGACAUCGUGCAUUAGUUUCAAUCGUAGCCCAAACUCUACAAGAUUUCAGUCAAGCGUAUUUGGCUCUGCUGUUCCAAGCGGAUCAUCUGUUUUACAGUUGAGUAACGUAGUAUAUAAAUUUUUAUGGGUUUAAGCAUAUUUUCUGUUCUUAUAAUUGACCCAAGAAGAUGACACAUUGUUUAGGGGAUGCAAUGUCAAGAGAGUCCAACCCAUUAAAGCAACGACCACUGAAUUGCCACCAACUGUUCUGUUCUUAUAAAUUUUAUGGUUUCUUCUCAUAUCAACUGAAAGAAGAAUAAGAAAAAGUAGUUUGAAAGAGAAAAACAAAAAGGACUGGUCUACAUAAAAUUGCCAUCUCUUACCUUCUUCAAGUGAUGUUAGUAGGGCAGUUUCUGAAUUCUCUUCGUAUAAGUAAAGCUAGAUGGUUUAUGCAUCAGGCAGCUCCCAAUCCUUGGGUUGUCGCCACUAGUAUGGAUUAAAAAAAAAAACAAACACCUAUAAUAAAAUUGUCCACUUUUUUUUAUUUAUUUUCUUGAAAAUCUUUAGCUCCUUCUGGAAAAAGCAGAUCAGCCAAUUGGGAUGAUCUCAGAAUCUUUUAAGCAGAAGCCUUGAAUCAGUAAUAGCACAAACCAGCCAUGGUAAACUUGAAACAACCUUGGGGCACUGCAGUGCAUGCCAAUAAGCUGAUCUUCAGCAAAUAAAAAAAUUAUAAACAUGGACAAAGAGAGAGCCUUCAUCACAGAGAUCAGAUAUUAUACAUUAAUAAUUAAAGCUCUCGAACAAAGAUUGUAUACUCACAAAAGUAAGGACUUUAUCAAAACUGGAACGAUUUCGGGCAGCAAUAACAACAUAGUUAGCAGUGAUAACCAUACUUAGUUACUGUUGUCUUAGUUAGAUAAUGUUGUAUUAAGUAGCUGUUUUAUUACUUGUCACAAAAACAAGAGUUAGUUAAGCUUUAAUUUUCUGUUAAGCAUUUCUGUUGUAAACUCACUCUUGUAACAGCUACUCUCUAUAAAUACAUAUCUUGAUCUCUUACAGAAAUCAAGUUUUUACUCCAUAAAGAUUACUCUGCUUUUUCUCUGUUCUGUCUCAAGAUUGCUCAAGAAGUUCUUACUUCAGAAAAGCUUUACAAGCAGCAACAGAGUUGAACAAAGACCAUUUCAUAGUUGGUGAAAUGGGUGAAACUGAGAACAGUUCAGUGCUUAGAAGAACACUCAAGAGUCUUUGUGUUAGUAAUGGUUGGUCUUAUGGCGUUUUCUGGUAUUUCGACCAAAGAAAUCCCAUAUGAUUCUGAGGUUUGCUAUCAGUUUUCCUCUGGAAUAAAGAUCAUUGUGGUAGUACCGGUUGAACCACGAGGACUAGUACAGUUUGGAUCUACUGAGAAGAUAUCUGAAAGAUUGGACUUUGUGGAUCAAACAAUGAGGCUCUUUCAGGAAAACAACUUUCAGAAAAUGCCUUAACGUACAUGGUGAGGCUGUAUCAUUGGGACACUCAUUAGGAUGCAGUGGAGCUCGUAUCUUGGUCACAUUGUUAGGGAUAUAUGAACUGGGUUGGAACAGGGACAAUUUAGAACUUCUAGCACAGGGCAGAAACUUCAUGUUACGAUAAAUGGCAGUGCAAGUAAAAAAGCCUUGGAUCCAGUUGCUCCAGUUUAUAAGUACUGCCUUGUAUCAGUAUCUAACAUAUUAACUUCAACAUGCCAAAAUGAGGUUUCUGCCAGUUUAGUCACGGUGCAUUUGAUUGAGAAAUUAGAUGCUGGUGAUAUUGGAAAUUUAUCUGUAUCAAUACUUCAGAAGAUGAGCACCAUGUCUAAAAAGCUUAAAAAUCAUCCUGCUUUCUCUGAAUUGUUAGCCCAAUAUUCACAGAGCGGUUAUAGGUAUAUUGAGAUGAUUUCUUUGGAGCAAUUCUUGACAACAUUUGUAGUUGAGGCCUUUAGAAUGGAAGAAUGUAUUUCACUAAUUUUUUUAUACAUUUCUUGUUUUGUAUUUAGUGAUAAAAGAAUCUGAAUUGGGCAUAAAUUAUGUUGUAAUAUGAUUUCUUAAGCCUAGACUAGUAGACUAAAUAUUGUAAUUACAUUUGAGUAAUUAAUAAAAAUCUAUUU